GUAAGAUAGGGAACGCCGCCGCCUGCCAUCGCAACGCCAGCCGAUAGGGCACGCCGCCGUUCGCCACGGGCCGGCCGGCGUCCUGCUCGUCGCCGCCACGGCGUCCCGCUCGUGCCCCGGUGCGCCGCCACCCCUGCUUCCCACUUGUCCCCACCACGUGCGCCGCCUUUUUGCCUCUGCCGGCGCCACCACCGCUCCCUGCCCGUCGCCGCCCGUGGAGCAAGAUGAAGGGUGCUCCGAUGGACGAGCACAAGAAGCCGGCAGAGGAGGAGAACAAGAAUUCUUCCGGCGAGUCAGGAUGCGGAUCCGGCGAGAAAGCAGGUUGAAGCUACAGCCAACAUAGCAGCUGUUCUACUUCUACCAAGCAAGCAAAUGCAGUGAAGAAACCACCACCGCCUGUUUUUCACAGCCGAAGAUAUUCUCGGAUGUGAACGCAGAGGCGACAGGAAUAGGAGACGGCGACGAGGCAUUGAUCUGACAAGUAACACAUACCAGGUCAGUGCACUUUUAAUAAGCAGUGCAUUGAUCUGAGUUGUUGAAGAUGGUAUCUGGA